GUGCUCACUUCAGCAGCACAUAUACUAAAAUUGGAAUGAUACAAAGAAUACUAGCAUGGCCCCUGCACAAGAAUGGCAUUGUGUUUACCUUAUCUUGAUUUU